AUUUUUAUGGUGUAAGGCACGAAAGAUUUUCAGUUUUUAGGUGUAAUAAUUGUUUGAGAUUACUAAAAAUA
rnacentral:tRNA from 1 species